rnacentral:lncRNA from 1 species
AUAUGAGAUUGAAAGAUUUGUGAUAAAAUCUAUAAAAACAAAAGAUCAUAGUUGUUCCGGAAUAAGUAGUUCAUAAGAUUGAUGAUGAGGAGUUUUGGACUUUGAACAAAUAUCACAUUAUUGUACAAAAUCUUUGACUGCCUUCCACAUUUGAUGCUACCAAAAAUCUCUAGAUAUUAGCUCCAAAGUCUUAUUGUAUUCAAAAUUUUUAGUUGUUGGAAAGUCAUGAUGAGCUUGAAAAACAUGUUAUUAU